GGGGAUGAAAGGACUCGAUGAAUGGAAUAAGUUAAUCGGCACAGGCAUGUCGAGGAAGCGCUGAUCCUCGUAAAUCACAUAGCGCGACAUACAAAUGUCAAUUUUGUAUCAAAAGUGAAGAAUGCUUUGGCUAACGCCUUUAGCGUUCCGACCUUUGCAACAGCCGUCGCUUAAUCGCUUCGGCCAUCGUCUCCGCUAUACUCGCUAACGGAUAAACGGUGUAAACCCAGCGAGAGUAGGAUUGGACCGCCGCCAUAACGGUUUAAUCUGAAAGUUAAUUAUGGCUAGUCGUCGCUUUUUGGCCGCUUCUUUAAGCAACGGCGAAUUGCCAAAGCGGCUAAACAUGUAGUCUGUUCUAUUAACCCAUUCAGACCCGGGUUCAAUUCCCGGCAUCUCCACUU
rnacentral:tmRNA from 3 species